rnacentral:lncRNA from 1 species
AACAGCAUAUUUGGCCGAGAAAUACAAGGAAACGGGGUGUGAUCUCUUGAGGCACAAUGACCUCAAAGAAGCUGCAUUGGUGAAGGUGUGGUUGGAGGUUGAAUCCCAACAAUAUCAUCCGGCAAUAUACCAGAUUGUGUACCAGUUCUUCGUGUUGCCUCUACAAGGCAAGACGGCCGAUCAGGCCAUUAUUGAUGUAAAUCUGGAGAAGUUGGGUAAGGUUCUGGAUGUGUAUGAGGCCAGGCUGGGCACCACAAAGUGCCUAGCAGGAGAUUUCUACAGCUUGGCUGAUCUUCACCACCUUUCUUACACUUACUAUUUCAUGAAGACGCCAUGGGCUUCCCUCAUAAACAGCCGUCCCAAUGUGAAGGCAUGGUGGGAGGACAUUUCCUCAAGGCCAGCUUUCAAGAAAGUGGCUGAAGGCAUGACUUUUGGUGAGAAGUGAUCGGUUUCUGAGCAGUGUGGCUCUAUGUUUUGGGGUAAUAUUAAUUGUAGUGGUUGCUGCCUCUUAAUUACGUGUAUUUAAGUGUGAGACCACGUAAUAAUUACUGAUUAUGUGUUAUGAUUUGCCCUAAAUUAAUCAGAAAUGUGGAAUUAUCUGGGGUUUCUCAUUGUGGUAAUUAAUCUGCUUGCAACCAGUUUUUGAAAGGGUUUGAUGCAUUUUUACUCCAUACUUUGCUUUAGCUAGGGUUAUGUUGGUGUCUCUAAGGCAUAAUGCUUCCAUUUUUGAGUCAUUGCAUACUCAGAUCAAAGUUUUCAAGACUUGUAGAAAAUGGGUUUUGGUAUUUUCAUGAAAGAGAAUGAAAGGGCAAAUUUCUUCACAAGGCAUGUAGUAAGGGUUUUCCCUUUCAAUCAGUCUUUUUCCUGAGAAACAAACAGAAUGUAUAUCAUGCCGUGUCAUCCACUGUGACAGUUUUCCUCUGAAGAGUUUUACUGCAGUACUUCCUAUUUAUUCCCAUUUUUACUUCCCAAACGAGGUAAACACGUACUGUACUGCAGCUCUGGUUAUUUUCAUCAUCCUUGCUUGUCCAAAGCAGCUUCACUCUUUGAACCUAUUUUUAUUGUUAUAUAUAUAUAUAUAUUAGGUCAAAUUAAUCUUCCAAUUUUCUAACUCUAAGCCCUUGCAAAGAGUUUUUGUAGUAUCAUAUGUAUCUACUAUCAGUCAAGCAGAAACUGGAUAAUGUUCUAUAUACGCUUCAAUAAUUAUGGAUCCAGCAAAGGAGAUCUUUUGUUAUGCUACGGGUCUCUACUAAAAUCUGAGGCUGGAACCCACUUCAAUUAUUCACUCAUUUUGUUCUCAUAGAACCUUCAGCCAUGUGACCCUCACCCUCCAACUAACUUUCAACCACAUCUACCACCUUUCUUUCCUUUUUAUUUUUAUUUUUUAGUUUUGACCUAAUUCCAUCUAACUCUCAAAAUGUAUUCUAAAUCAUGCAUCACAGUCUCAAAAUAUAUGUAGGCCCUUCUCUCUAGAUUCUUGAUUCUAUAGUCUUGUACAACCCAAAUUUCUUAGACUCUAGUCUGAAUAAGCUUGAUAGACAUGAUUGUGCUUAUUAUUUAAUAAUUUAAGUUUUUCUUAUAGUAAUUAAUAGUUUAAUAUGAUAUAAUAAAAUUUCUUAUCUUAAUUAAUUUGUAAAAUUAUCUAGAUGAGAUAAAUAGAUAGUCCUAAUUUUUAACUCCAAAAAUUGAUUUUUUUUCUCAAUUAUAAAUUUUCUUAAUCCAAUGCGAGAUUCAAAUAUCAAAAUAAUAGCUAGUUUCAUAAGACACUUGAUGUAUGUGGAAAACCAUCAACAAUCAUGGGUUUGCAAAACAAAGUAAUUACUAAAUCUAAAAGAAUAAGUACACAAUUUUUAUCAAAAUUUGAUACUAUCUUCUCCCAAGGGUCUUAUGUUGGCACAUAUUUACACUUGUUUUCAUGUUUGAGAUGCAACACCUUAUACCCUUUAGGAAACUCCUCAACUACUUGAUAACAUAUAAUCAACCAUUAUGAUUUGAUCUCAAAUAAGAGUUAAGCGAUUGAAAAUGUAUGUGUAGUGAGUUUGAAAUGAGAAUGAUAGAGAAAUUGAACUUUUUCAUUAGACUUUAAAUGAAGCCAUUAAGGAAGAGAUCCACUCCCAAGAUUAAUUCAAGAUGGGGAUAUAAAAAUGGUAUCUUACCAUAAUGACGUCAUCCAUCAAACUUUAUAUGAAGAAGAUAAAUCCAUUGGUUGAACUCUUUAUAGAGGAAUAAUUGACUCUUUAUCAUUAAACAAUAUAUGUUUGUUUUCAACUUGCAAAGAAUCUUAUUCUAGUGCUAUUAAAAAAAUUCUUAAAUAUUUAAAAAGAAUAAUUAAACUAUGUUUGUGAUAUCAUGCAUACUAACUUUGAUCUAAUUAACUAAUUAAAAGUGGAUUUUCCGUUUGUAAAAGUAAUGGAAAUGUAUUAGUGGUACUUAUAAUGUUUGUUUUCAAUCUUACAAAGAAUCUUAUUUUAGUGCUAUUAAAAAUAUUCUUAAAUAUUUAAAAAGAAUAAUUAAACCACGUUUGUGGUAUCAUGCAUACUAACUUUGAUCUAAUUAACUAAUUAAAAAUGGGUUGUUCCAUUUGUAAAAGUAAUGGAAACGUAUUAGUGGUACUUCUAACUUUCUAGGCCACUCACUAGGUUUUGACAUAGUGAUCGAACCUUUGAUCAAUUGAGUUGUCGUGUGCGAUAUAUUUCAUAAUGACUAAUUGAUGCAUGGUGGUUUAGACUUAGUCUUAAUUGGUUGAGGACUUGUUGAUCAGAUGUUAAUCGAUUAAGGUUCUUGCACCUUAAUGAUUACCUCCAAGUGUACUUUUAUUUAAUAGCAUGUUUCUUAGUCCAUCGCCUAAUCCACUAAUUCAGCUAAAAAUGUGCCUAAGGGCUAGUUUCACUCUAGAACUCUUAUUUAAAACUUUCCAACCUUGAGCAAUCAUUGUAGCAAUUUAUUGAAUGGUUCUCUAGAAUACUCUUAUUCCCAAACUCGCAAGUCUCAUUUAGUCUACCUUAAUCUUAGUUUAUUUAUAUAUUUGAUCCUGAAUUUUGCAAACUAGAAAGCUUACUUUAAGAAAUUCACUCUUGUAUUCAUGAAAGAGUAUACUGAAAUGUAAGGGAUCACUUGAGGGCAUUGCAAAGGCAUAUUGGAAGCUUAAAUAUAAGUGUAAAAAAAUUAAAAGCAAAAUCUUAGCACUAGUGAAUGGACCUCAAGCUUAGAUUGAUGAAAGAGAGAGUGGAUAUAGGAGUUAUAGAACCAUUAUAAGUACUUUAUUGCAUCACUCUAUCCCUAUCUCUAUUAAUUUACUUGCACUAUAUUAAUUUUUAUAAUUUGCUUUUUAAUUUUCUAAAUUUUGCAAAAGAACUAACACCGAAUUCUCCUCCCCUCUUGGGUGUCUUCCUCAAGUGAACUCAACUAAUUUGCUUUUCAAUUUUCUAAAAUCAUGAAUCAAUGUAUCAUAAAGCAAAUCCACUAAUUUAAAAAGAAUUAAUACACGGUUUUACCUUAACCAUAUGUUAUCUUCCCCUAAUAAUCUUACACCAAUCAACACAUCCAUUUGUUUUCACGUUUGCAAUGCAAUAUAUGCUCCUUAGUAAACUCCUUAGCAAUUUGAGAUAAUACAAUCAACCAUCAUAAUUUAUCCUUUAAUUAAAGUUAAGUUUUCAGGAAUAUUGGAAACACACAUGAGAAUAACGACAAUUAUUUUCGAGAGCAUGUUGUUUUUUCAAUAUAAGGAGAAAAUCUUACUAAGUCUAUCCAAAUACAUUAAUUGAAAAAAAUAUAGAAUUAGAAAAUCAUGAAAAAAAAAAAACAAAUGGGUCCAAGGUAAACCGAUGUACUCCAUUUUGUCAUGAAUAUUCACUAAAAAUUACUCAACCGUACACAAGCUUGACACACAACAUUUCCCCACUACGUAAUAGCCAUUAAAUCAAAUGAAAAAUAAAAUCUCCAACGUUAAAUUAAGUUGACACCGUGUGCAUCCCUGGUUUCAUAAUGCAGAGUGAGAUGAAACAGAAUCGAUGCACAAGUACUGGGAAAUAAAAUUACCCAUCACGAGUCUAGAAAAUGGGUUCUGAUAUUUUCACAUAAGACAAUGUUGGAGGAUUCUAGGAAAAGAAAGAGAAUGCGGGAAAGGGAAAAUUCUUCACAUGCCUACAGCAUUUACGGCAUAAAGAACGUUUUCUUUCUCAAAGCAUGUGAUCUUUUUCCUGAGAACCAAACAGAUGGCAAAAGCAAGUUCCUGCUUGUCCAAAAAAACCCUGUACUCAUUGGACUAACAAAGCCUGAAUUAAAUAUGGGCCAUUUCGUACCUUCACCAUGGCCCAUUUCUUGUGAUGUUCUUUUGAAUAAAUUUAAGAAAUUACUGUUAGAAAUCAAAUAGAUUGAAUAAAUAUUUUAAUUUAUAAAAAAAUCAUCUUAAAUAAAUAACAAAUAAUAAAUAGGAGAAGGAAAAGAGAAAGUACGUAUAUUUGCAAUGUUACAUUACCUCACCUUAUCGUUUUCCAAAACUUAUAGUAAGCAAGAAUUGGAUUUACUUCUGCCUUCUAUUCUUCAUCAAUACAAUAUGAACGGUAGAGAAGUCCCUUGUUCUAAAGGAGCCGGGCAAGUCGAUUGAAACAAGCGAAUCGAGGUGGCCUGCAACUACCCUAAACAACACUGCAUAAGAAGCCAACAAACUAGUAUAUAACGCCCACCAUACCCUCUUCAUUUUCAGUACCACCUCACCAUCCUCCAUUCAUAUCGCCCAUUUUCACCCACCUCUUUCUCUCUCUCUCUCUCUCUCUCACUCUCUCAGUUUCUCAGUCUUUCAAUGGCGCUCAAGCUCCAUGGAAUUCCCAUGUCCACUUGCACCACUCGUGUCCUCACCUGUCUCCAUGAGAAAGGCUUGGAUUUUGAGCUUGUCCCUGUUAAUCUCUUUGCAGGUGAACAUAAGCAGCCUCCUUUUCUUGCCAAGAAUGUGAGUCUCACUUUCUUCUUUCUUUCUAAUCAUCUCUCUUUCUUCUCUCUGUAGAUUUUGCUUUCUUUGGGGUUGUAUAAAUUAUGAUUUUCCUUGGUUUGGGUACAUUGUUUUUAAUGUACAGUCUCGUCGAUUUGAUUUUGGUCUUGGUUUUGUUAUACAUAUAUGCAGCCCUUUGGACAGAUUCCAGUUCUGGAAGAUGGCGAUUUCACUCUUUUUGGUAAGUUCACGGUUUUAAUCACUUUCCUCAUAAGAGCUUGAAAUUUUUUGUACUGUACUACCAUCAGGACCGACAGUUCCUGAGUUUUAUCACCUGGUUGCUUUUCAACAAAAAUUUUCUUUCAAAAAUUUAAAGAGUUUUUCUAACAAAAUCAUGCUAUGUAGUACAUCAUAUCGAGCUCAUAUAUUAUUAUUUUGAUCAAUUUUAGACCAAUCAUUUUUCUGGAUAAUUUUCGUAGUUUUUUUAUUUCGCUUUCAUGUUAGUCAUGUUAGUCCAGGUUUACUGUAAAUCCCCGGUUGAUUUAGUUGGGUUAUUGAAAAAUUAUGUUUAUGUACCAGAAUCUAGAGCAAUAACAGCAUAUUUGGCCGAGAAAUACAAGGAAACGGGGUGUGAUCUCUUGAGGCACAAUGACCUCAAAGAAGCUGCAUUGGUGAAGGUAUGGUUGGAGGUUGAAUCCCAACACUACUAUCCUGCAAUAUACCAGAUUGUGUACCAGUUCUUCGCGUUGCCUCUACAAGGCAAGACGGCCGAUCAGGCCAUUAUUGAUGUAAAUCUGGAGAAGUUGGGUAAGGUUCUGGAUGUGUAUGAGGCCAGGCUGGGCACCACAAAGUGCCUAGCAGGAGAUUUCUACAGCUUGGCUGAUCUUCACCACCUUUCUUACACUUACUACUUCAUGAAGACGCCAUGGGCUUCCCUCAUAAACAGCCGUCCCAAUGUGAAGGCAUGGUGGGACGACAUUUCCUCAAGGCCAGCUUUCAAGAAAGUGGCUGAGGGCAUGACUUUUGGUGAGAAGUGAUCGGUUU